rnacentral:lncRNA from 1 species
CUAAUUCCAAUUCCACCAACCUUUUUCUUUCCAGCAAAUGCCCAGCCCAAUUUCUCCCCAAAGACCCACCCGACCCACCUUUUUCCAAAUACCCGACCCAAACCCAGAAGAGUUCAACGUUCACAAAUCACAACACAACACAGAAGAAGAACACGUCUUCACAGCAGCAACGUUCGUAAACGGCAUGCAUACGAUUGCAAUAUCAAACGUUCAUCAAGCGCCAAUAACAACAAUUCCAAACAGCAACAGACGUCAAUUCUAGCAGCAAAGCUAACGGCGUCAACAAACGAUUCCGACUCCAACGUUCACGGCGUGUGCGAUGCCUACGAACUCAGAGAUGAACGUUCUUUCUUCCUCAAAUGGAAAGAUCAUAGCAGCACGCCUUCAGGCUCUGUCUCGUCUCUUUUCGGCUUUCCUUGAAAAUUUACCAACAGGUUUAGCCCCGCCUUGCUUGUCUUGGCCUCCAAAUCCUUUUGAGAAAAAAGUUUGAAUUCAUAAUUCUCUAUCCGCUUUCCCCCCAAUUUCAAUGCCUCCUCCUUUAUAAUAUUCUUACCGUCUUUUAUAUUUCGACAUGACGUUUCCAGCGUCUCAAAGAACAAUGUUGCUGCCAUUUGUCAUUGAAUUCUUGGCAUCCUAAUAUGUUGUGUAUGUGUUCUUUAGCAAUUUCAUUGUCUA